AACGCCGUCGGAGAGCGAGAGCGAUUGCGUCUCGCUGUGCAUGCGCAGCCAGCGGUGGUGGCGGCUGAAGCCGCCAUAGUGCUGGUGCUUAGCCGGCUUCCGCUUUCCCAGGAAGCCCAGCGGCGGCCUGGCGCUCGGCGCCAUCUUGGCGUGGUUCUUGGGAGUGAAGCCGGUGAGGGUCAGGCUGUGGAGGACUUCGGCACACGAGUGGUCGGGAUCCGGCCCCGGGGGCCGGCCUUGGGGGUCCUGGCCCGAUCCCAGAGGACUCUUCAUGUCAUGCACCUGCAGAACGUCGGGGGCGCUGCCACUUAGGCCGCUGAGAGCCUGCUGGGCGAUAUCCUGUGAUGACAGGUAGACCAGGUCCAGGUCUCGGGGGCUCAGGGCAUCACUGGAGUCGUAGUCGCUGUCAGUGGGGAGGAAGACUUCUGAGCAGCCUUCUUCAUCAGAGCAGGGCUGUGAAUCUACAGAGCCAGAGACCCAGGGGACUGAGGAGUAUAUGAAGGUGUGCUUCAAAGGUCUGACCUUCUAAUUUUCAAUGGGGAAUCCUAUUUUAAGACUCCCAGGGAGAGCCUGUGCUGAUUCCUUCAGAAGGCAUACACUAUGUCUUAUUUAUUUCUGCUCAGUAAAUGUUGAAGAAGUCAGGCAGUGAAGGAAUGGACCAAAGAAGGAGUCAAGCAAAGGGGCAUGCAGAAUCUUCUGUAUUUUCUAGAUCAUCUAAUCUGAACAUUGACAUUUGAGCAGGCCAUGAGGAUCUCCUAACAAGACUGCAACUUAAUUAUCAUUGUAUUAUUCGCUUCUUGUGCUAUUUCUGUUGCAUACAAAGCUUUCAGUAAAAUAAGUUAUGUUGAGUUGAUUGAAACUAAAAUAAAUAUUGAAAUCUGGGAGCAUAAAGAAUUGUGAGAUUUGAUUGCCUCUUAAAAACAAUACUGAAAGCAGCCUGGAAAGAGCUAAUUUACGUAAUCUGCCAUAGAAAUUCCUGAAAACAGUCACCUAAAUUAUUUUGUUUCAUAUUUGGUGAUGCUUGACUUAAGGGUCAGCCUAGUUGUAGCAGAAAGAACAACUGUCUUAAAAUCCGACAAACCUGGGCUGAAGUCUUAUCUUGCUCCUUGACCGUGUAUCUGAUCUUGAGCAAAUCACUUAGCCCCUCUGAACCUUUCUUCCUCUACAGCAUGUCGGUAUUAUAUUGCGUAUCUUCACAGGUGCCAGGAUGAUUAAAUUAGAUUGUUAGAAACACUUUAAGUGCCUUCCUACCCUUAAAUACUGAGAAAAUAACUAGAAAACGUUAUCAAGAGGUGACUCAUUAAAAUAUAGACCAGUAAUCAGAUAAACUUCAAGACUUUGCUGUGAGAAUGCUGUUGAUAAUAAAGGAGAACAAUAAUCUCUCGUAUGGUGUCUUGUGUUGGUGGUGAUCUAGUUCAGUACUGUAUUUCCUGACCUAGAUUUAGCAGUGAAUUUGUAAAUGAUAUAACUAACUUCUUUACCAUAGCUCCUAGGAGCAAGAGACAUAGGAGAUAAAUUAAAAGAAGAGCUGGUUGUAACUGUCAUAACCCAAGGAGAGGGAAAAAAGGCUUGGGUAUGGAGUGGUAAAUAUUAUCUUGUCGUUUCAUGGACCCACAGUUGGGAAACACUGUUCUAGUAGGAAUCUAAAUAUUUGACUUCCAUGGUGGUUGUAUUAUUUAUUAUAAGACUUAGUGGAACCUAUUGCUUAGAGUGGGAUACCCCUCCCAGAACAAGCUGGGAAAAUCUCCAGGAUGCCAGCCAGGGCACUGAGGAGAGUUUCCAGGGACUUAGGCCACUGCCACUCCCUCCCUUCCUGGAAAAGAAUGCAAAGUGCAGCUUCCAUCCCCAGAUCCAGGCCAUAUGCUCCAUUAAGCAUUGUAGGCACCUUGCCCAGUUGUUAUUUUAAUAAACCUGGUUGUGCUCCUCAAUUUCCCUUACAGGGCCCACUGGGCAGGCUAGCAUUGGUAGAACCUUGUGUUUCCCCUCUGACUGACCCAGGAGCUGUUUGAUGAAAGUUCUGCCCAUAGUAUUAGUGCUGGCUUAGGAAGCUUGGCCUUUUUGCCAUUGUAAUGGGUGUUGCAAUUCCUGGUCUCUGUGGCUCAGGCCAACAACAGCAGAGUAGAGUUGAUGUGGAUUUUGAGGGCGUUAUGUAGAGAUGACAUUUCAGGAAAGAAUAAUUGAUUUAAAGCUAUUGCCUUUCUCUUAAAGGCAGGGGGCAUGGCAGGACAGAAAGAAAGGAAUAAUAAGCAAUAUUUGCCCUAAAAUCUAUCUUCACAUUUUUAAUGUAUCAGUGUCCAAAUUUGUACUUUUUUGUGUGCUUCAUUGAAUCUGUUUCCACUGUGUUUGAGUAGAAUUUAAAUAACUUAUAAAUGAAGAAUUUAAAUAAAUGGGGAGAACCUCAGGGAUUUGUUCACCUUCUAAUUUACCAAGAGAAAUAACAUCUUCAGAUUCCUGCUGAUUUUCUGAACUGUUUAGUUUAUACUGUAAUGAUCUUAAAAUCAUCUGGAAAAAGGUUACCAGAUUGGAAGAUCAGAAUAAUCUUCAAAUGCAUCUGAAGGAAACAACACCCCCCUCCCCUCUGUUGCCUCACCCAUGUGUCACUAGGAGAAAUAGCAGUAUCGGAAAAAAAAAUUGCUGCUGCCUGUGACCACUGUACCCACAGAAAAGGAGUGGGAGAGAAAAUACACAUGUGAUGGACCAAAUCAUUCCACCCCCUGCCAUGAGUUGCCUUU